rnacentral:rRNA from 1 species
UGCAGAGGUCCCAAGCGUUGUUCGGAUUCACUGGGCGUAAAGGGUGCGUAGGUGGUGAGGUAAGUCGGAUGUGAAAGCUCCGAGCUCAACUCGGAAAUGGCAUUGGAAACUACCUUGCUCGAGGGUUUGAGGGGGGACUGGAAUACUUGGUGUAGCAGUGAAAUGCGUAGAUAUCAAGUAGAACACCAGUGGCGAAGGCGAGUCCCUGGAAAACUCCUGACACUGAGGCACGAAAGCUAGGGGAGCAAACAGG